GGAGAGAUGGCUGAGCGGUUUAAGGCGGCGGUCUUGAAAACCGUUGUGGGGUUAAACCCACCCAGGGUUCGAAUCCCUGUCUCUCCG
rnacentral:tRNA from 1 species